CAUGCCUCAUGUUUCAUUUGCGCAACAGGUGCAGUCGCCCCUUUGGGCAGUUCUGGUGAAGCUGCUGCUAUUCCAAGUCAUCCGUAACGUCCAAGUACAGUAUGUUGUACCGUGUUUUCGGGGUCCACCUACAAACCGUGAUCCCUUGCUGAUCAAUUCAACCUGCAGUGGUGUGGUAUCGCAGGGGCCCAACACAGAGACACCAAGUUUGCUAGAGUCUGCAAUUGAGAAUGCUGUUCUCUACAUGAACCAGCAGGUGACCAGCGCUCUGCCUCGUUUCCGCACACGCACAUAGAGCAGUCUCCCUGCCUGUCACCUUCAAUAACUCUCUCCAGUAAUUCUCAAAAUGAAUCAACUGCGUCUGCUAGAGUUCACCACAACACCAUUACGGAUGCUGUUGUAAAGAGCACUGUAGAAGCUGGCUGCCCUGGGCCAGUGACAGUGGUGGUGGCCGAAUUGGAAGGCGAAAGAAGAAGCAGACAGCAGAGGUGUGAGAAAAGAAACAUCCCAUCAGCGAAAGAUGCCGUUUUGUUGCAGGACCAGUCAGUGCGCCACCCAACUGCACUCCUGCUGUAUUCUCUGUGCACUAUUUUAAGUGCACAAUGGACACGUUCACAGGAGUCCCACAUGUGGACGAACCACAGCGGAAUGGUUUUCCUGUAGCCUAGAUAUCUGUAGCUUUCUACCUCAGUAGUACCACACCUGCAAGGCGGUUGUUGGUAUUUGGUAAAUGAAAACAGGCGGCUGUGAGAAGAACAUGGGGUACAGGUAAGAUGAUGAUGAUUAUUCAGGUUUUUAUGGCGCACGGACAACUAAGGUCAUAGUGCGCCAAAGCUAUGGUGAAAAGACAAUGGGGAUGGUUGGUGACUAUGUAAAAGCAACAAGAUUAAACUAAAACCAUAGUUUUAGAAAUGUUUAGACAGUAAAACAAGAUACAUGAGCAGCUGGGUAAAACUAUAUUGCAUUUAAAUACCAAUAUCUUUAAAAUAGUUAAAAACUCUCAUGAAGGGUAAAAGAGGCUCAUCACCCAACAACAAGGCUGGAUGAAGUGGCAACUGAUAUCUGUAAAGCUCUUUAAAGUGAUACUGACGAUGAGGUUCAUAUGCAGGACACGUAAUUAGGAUGUGCAGCACAGACAGCUGCUCCCCACACUGCGUACAUUCCGGUGGUUCCUCUCGGCGCAGUAAAAAACCAUGUGUGAGGUGUGUGUGACCAAUGCGUAAGCGACUAAAAACUAUUGAAUGGAGACGAUUUUUAAAACUCGGUAUGCUUCCUAAAAUUGUGUUUUUUGACAUCCAAAGCUUGUUGUUUUCUCGUGUAGCCCACUCUCGUUGCCAUUUCACAUUAAUUUUCCUCCUCAGGACUGACCUAAGGUCUUGAGAGGGACUCUCCAAUAGGCCCACUUCAGAAGAGAGCGCAGCUGCAGCUGCUGCAUCUGCGAGUUCAUUGCCGGGUAUCCCAACGUGGCUGGGAACCCAGCAAAAACCUAAACAGAGACCUUUUUUGAUUACCUUGGUUGCAAGAUAUCGGGCCCUUAAUACAAGGUUUUAACAGUGGAACAACGGUGGCAGUUUUCCAUGCGGAUGGUAAUGUGCUGUCUGCCCAGAUUCGGUUGAAGAAACGAAGCAAGCAUUCUUUCGAUGUUUCGGACAAGUGCUGAAGCAUGGAAUAUGUCACUCGGUCUGGACCAGGUGAGGUAGCCUUUGCUGAAGAUAAUCCCCGCCACUCAUUCGAAUUCUCUUCUUUUCUGCGGUGUCUUUGAUCUUAAGAAAGUUUUUACUAUAAUGAGAUAAGUCAGAAAUUCUUUGGAAAUGCUCCCCAAGCGCAUUCGCCUGCUCCUCUAGGCUUUCAUAUACCUGACCGUUAACUUCUAAAAGAGGGACAGAAUGACUGAUGUGUUCUCCUCUGAUUUUGCGAAGUCUGUCCCAUACCACUUUGGAUGGGGUAUUACAAGACAGAGACGAUACAAAGGCGUGCCAAGAGGACCGCUUAGCUUGCUUGCGUGUCCACCUGGCCUUUGCUCUUGCCUUUUUAAAAAGUAGGAGAUUUUGUGAUGUGGGGUACCUCCGAAAUGUGCCCCAUGCCCGAUUUUGCAGUUUGCGAGUUUCCUCGCAUUCACUGUUCCACCAGGGUUUAGGUCGCUUUGGGAGACGACCGGAAGCCUGGGGAAUGAAUUGUGUUGCUGCAUCGAGGAUGAUGUUACUAAUAAGAUUGCUAGCUUCCUCGAUUGUCACCCUAUCAAUAGGAAUCAGAGAGAGGUCACAUUUUUCAGAAAACUGAUUCCAGCCAGCUAUUUCAAAUUUCCACCUGGGAGGGCGUGUCGUCAAAGUGUCGACUAGAGUAAGGUAUUUUAACACCACUGGGAAGUGGUCACUUCCAGGUGGGUUUUGUUUUACAGUCCAUUCUAUCUACUGAAACAAGGAUGGACUGCAAAAAGACAGGUCUAAGGCUGAGAGAGUCUGACUUGAAGAAUGUAUGUAUGUGGGUGCCCUUGUGUUUAAGAGACAGAUGGAUGUUGAUAAUAAAAAUUUCUCUAACA